UACGUAGGGCGCAAGCGUUGUCCGGAAUUAUUGGGCGUAAAGAGCUCGUAGGCGGCCAGUUGCGUCUGCUGUGAAAUCCCGGGGCUCAACCCCGGGCGUGCAGUGGAUACGGGCUGGCUAGAGGCAGGCAGGGGAGAACGGAAUUCCCGGUGUAGCGGUGAAAUGCGCAGAUAUCGGGAGGAACACCGGUGGCGAAGGCGGUUCUCUGGGCCUGUACUGACGCUGAGGAGCGAAAGCGUGGGGAUCAAACAGG
rnacentral:rRNA from 1 species